AUUGAACGCUGGCGGCAGGCCUAACACAUGCAAGUCGAACGGUAACAGGAAGCAGCUUGCUGCUUUGCUGACGAGUGGCGGACGGGUGAGUAAUGUCUGGGAAACUGCCUGAUGGAGGGGGAUAACUACUGGAAACGGUAGCUAAUACCGCAUAACGUCGCAAGACCAAAGAGGGGGACCUUCGGGCCUCUUGCCAUCGGAUGUGCCCAGAUGGGAUUAGCUAGUAGGUGGGGUAACGGCUCACCUAGGCGACGAUCCCUAGCUGGUCUGAGAGGAUGACCAGCCACACUGGAACUGAGACACGGUCCAGACUCCUACGGGAGGCAGCAGUGGGGAAUAUUGCACAAUGGGCGCAAGCCUGAUGCAGCCAUGCCGCGUGUAUGAAGAAGGCCUUCGGGUUGUAAAGUACUUUCAGCGGGGAGGAAGGGAGUAAAGUUAAUACCUUUGCUC
rnacentral:rRNA from 1 species